rnacentral:rRNA from 1 species
UACGUAGGGGGCAAGCGUUGUCCGGAAUCAUUGGGCGUAAAGAGCGUGUAGGCGGCCACUUAAGUCCUGCGUGAAAUCUUGCGGCUCAACCGCAAGCGGUCGUGGGAAACUGGGUGGCUAGAGUGCGGGAGAGGAGAGUGGAAUUCCUGGUGUAGCGGUGGAAUGCGCAGAUAUCAGGAAGAACACCCGUGGCGAAGGCGGCUCUCUGGAACGCAACUGACGCUGAGACGCGAAAAGCGUGGGGGAGCAAAACAGG